UUUUAAUUUCUGAUUUAAUGCUAUGUAAUAAUCAUGUAAUAGGAUCUUAGAUCUAGGGAUUCUCUAGUUUUAGAAAAUAAAUUUUGAUUUAUUUUAGUCUUCCGCUGUAUGAUCUUGAAAAAGUUUCAAGAUCUAACCCUGAAAUCCUAGAUCUGGUUCCUACAAAAAUAAUUUCAGCCAUCAUAUUAGAUCUAAAUUAAAUUCUAAUUAGCGUAUUCAGAUCUGAAACUAAUUUCAGAUCUGAAAUACUCAUGAUUUAUUUCAGAUCUAAAAUAAUUUCAUAUCCAAAAUAAUUUUGUAAUCAUAAUACAGCAUGCAGAAAUUUUCAAAUCUAUCAUUAACUAAUGUUCUAUAUCAUUUUAAGACACUGAUUUGUCAAAACGAUGUCAACCAUUAAUCAAUCUUUAGAUCUGAUUUCUACAAAUCAGAUUUCAGAUCUAAAUGGUUUCAUAUUCAUAUCAGAACCCGUGGUUCUGAUACCACUAUUAGAAUUGUUGGUGGUUUCAUGCGUAUGGUUUAAAAGUUUUCAAAACAUAGUAUUUCAGAUUUAUGCAGUGGAAGUAAAAUAAAUUAAAAUACUUUUUAAUUAAAUACGCACCAGAUCUUAUUUGUAAAUCAUGCACCAGAUCUUGACACGAACAUGUUAUCAAAAUCUAAAAUCUGAAAUCAAAAACAAUAGUUAAUAAUCAGGAUGAACAGGAGAUCGAAUCUUUAUACUUGAUUGGAUCGUAUAGAUGUCUAGGAUUCGAGUCAUAGCCGCGCAAGCAUCCGGCCUUUACUAGUAUCUACAUGAAGAUAUUUGAUCGAAACCUCGAGGCCAUCGAUGUGCUAGUAUCUUGUAGACCUCACUCUUCAACUUUAGAUCUGGGUCUCUUCUUCUAGAUUUUAAAGAAGAAGAAUGCUGCGUGAAUCCUUUCGUGCAAAUCUGACUGGAUCUGAAUCAGAUGCUAAGAAGAGGAAGAAGAAUCCUUCUUCUUCCCUUCUUCUCCCUCUCUAAUCUCUCUCUAAAUCUCAGAUCAGAUCUAAGAAUUAAUUGGGCAUUGGAUAUUCAAGAAAGGAGGAAAGGAGGUGUUGGGAAGAAGAGGUUGUGGCAAGAGAUCUCACAUUCAGAUCUCACACAUGCCCAUCUUUUCUCCUUUUUAUUUGUCGCACAAAACCCCAACAUUCCACACCUUAAUCAGAUUAGAUCUAAUCCAAUCUGAUCAGAAUAUGGGGUGGUUAGAUAUAUUUAGUAGCAAGGAAGAAACCUUGCACACAAAAUAAAUACCAGAUGCCCACCUUCUCAAUAUUUUUGUCACACAAAAAUAUGAGGCGUGGCCCCUCUUUUUCUUUAUUUUC
rnacentral:lncRNA from 1 species